AGCUGGAUGUGCGCAGCAGGGCAAGCGGCGUCUUAGGAGCACAAAGGCUGACGUUUUGGGUCUAGAACCUUCAUCAGAAAAGGGGGAGGAGGAUCAAAGAUGGAUCGAGAAGACAGGUGGAGAGGAGACAGACAUGUUAAAGAGAGAUAAUAGGAACUGCAGAUGCUGGAGAAUCCAAGAUAAGUGUGAAGCUGGAUGAACACAGCAGGCCAAGCAGCAUCUUAGGAGCACAAAAGCUGAUGUUUCAGGCCUAGGCCAUUCAUCAGAAAAGCUUUUUUCUUUUGGAUGAGGCUGUCAGUGGAGGGGGACUGGUCAGGCCUGCAGGACAGGAAGAAGUGGAGGACCUUUAGGCCAUCUGCAAGGGGAAUGCAGAUGUAUAGGGACUGGACCUCCAUGGUGAAAAUGAGGUGUUGGGCAUGUGGAAUUGGAAGCUCUGGAGAGUGUUGGGUGGUGUCAAAAGCAGCGAUGGAGCCAGUAGAGGUGAGAGUAGGUGGGGAGGUAGGGAGAGGAUCUGUCAGUCCGGGGAGAAUGGACAGGUCAAGGAGGUGGGAUGAGGUUGGUAGAAAAUGGAGGUGCAGCUUGAGGUGGGAGGAGGGGAUGGGUGAGAGGAAGAACAAGUUAGGGAGGCAGGGAUGAGCUGGACUGGUUUUGGGAUGCAUUGGGGGGAGGGGAGAUUUUGAAGUUUGUAAAAUGCACAUUGAUACCAUUGGGCUGUAGGGUUCCCAAGUGGACUAUGAGUUGCUGUUCCUGCAGCCUUUGGUUGGCAUUGUUGUGGCACUGCAAGAGGCCCAGGAUGGACAUGUUAUUCAAGGAAUGGGAGGGGGAGUUGAAGUGGCUUGUGACUGGAAGGUACAGUUGUUUAUUGCUAACCGAGCGUAGGUGUUCUGCAAAGCGGUCCCCAGGCCUUCACUUGGUUUCCCCAAUGUAGAGGAGGCCACAACGGGUACAGCGGAUGCAGUAUAUCACAUUGGCAGAUGUGUAGGUGAACGUCUGCUUGAUAUGGAAAGUCUUCUUAGGGCUUGGGAUGGGGUUGGAUUUCACAAGUUUCAACAGUAGUAAAUGAAUUGAAUAUCAAGGGAAGAUGAUUGACAAUCUUCUUGUUGCUGACAACCAUUGUCUUGCAUUUAUACACCUGUACUGACUCUUGGGACUUGUCAACCUGAGUAAGAACACAGUUCUGCAUUUGCUGGAGGUCUGAAAUAAAAAUAGAGUGCUGGAGAAACUCGGCAGGUUUGGCAACAUCUCUCUUACAGAAACAUGAACAUACUGAGUUUCUCCAACACUUUGGUUUCAUUACAUAUGAACCCAAGCCUGAAUGUUGACCAGAUUUCACUGGACUUGUACAUUAGAGUAUGUCAGGAGUUGUAAACGGUAUCGUGCACUGCAGACAACAGUAAUCAGCCCCAGUUCUGAUCUUAUAGUGGAGGGAAGAUCAUUGAAGCAGCUGAGGUGUUUGGAUCCAUGAGGUUACCCUGAGGAAUUCUGGCAACUCUUCAUUGUUUCACGUCACAACCAGCAUGAGGGAAGAUGGUUGUUGGAGGUCAAUCAGGGCAGAAAUGAGCCUCAAGUGUCUCGUGUUGACUGAGGCAGUAUUGGGGUCAGGAGUUGGUGUUGAUUGAGCUGAACCCAAAUUGAAUGUCAGAGAAUAUUAAUGCUUUGUUUGAGCUGCUUGGUAGCAUUGUUGAUUAGAGGGACCUGAUGGUUAGAUAUCACAGAAUCCCUGUAGUAGGGAAAGAGGCCAUUUGGCCAAUCGAGUCUGAAGAGCAUCCCCAUAACUGCCCCCUUUCCAUUAACCUUGCAUUUACCAUGGCUAAUUGGUUACACAUCUGUGGACACCACGGUUAAAUUUAGCAAAGCAAAUCCAUGUAACCUACACAUCUUUGAACUUUGGAAGGAAACUGGAGCUCCCAGUGGAAACCCACACAAACACAGGGACAAUGUGUAAACUCCACACAAACAGUCAUCCAAGGCUGGAAUUGAACCCAAGUUCCUGGUGCUGAGAGGCAGCACUGCAAAUUUGUCAUCAAAGUUUAUCUUCUCCCUGUUUGUUGUAUUUUUGGUUUUCAUUCGUUAGUCUUUUUAAACUUUCUCAGUCCUUUGGCUUACUUCUAACCUUUCCUACUUUGCAUUUUUUUUUCCCUUGCAACUUGAUGUUAUCUGUAACUUUCUUGCUUAUUUUAUCUACUUGUGUCUUAAAAAAUUUUGAUAAGCACAGGAGUGACAGGUUAGCAAGAGGUUGGGCGGAAUGUGGAGCAAUCAGAUUUUCCAUGAUAUUUUUGAAUCGUGGAGCAGGUCCAAGUGGCCCAUUUCUGCUUCAUAUAUUCUUUUCAUAUAUAUUGAUUUCUGUUUGGGCUACAAAGUCUGUCCUGGAGUUUGUGCCAUACACAAGUUUACACUUGAUCUGACAGAUGGCAUUGUUCAUCCUAGUAUCCUCCUCCCUCUUCAAUCAGAAUGUGGCCGUUGUAAAACUAACUACAUUUCUACGUUUUCUACCAGAAAAAAUACAUAAUUGUUUUUAUUCCCACUUAAUGAAAAACAAGAUUGUCAAAUCUCAAAAGUAAAGAGUAAAGUGAUAGCAUCCUCAUUGUCUGAACCUCCCAUUCAUGGUAUAAUGAACGGUGAAAGACAGUUUUCCGACAUUCCGCUGCACUUUGCUUUUGCGAAGAAUGAAGAAAAGUCCUUGUACAGUUUUGAAUGACCUCAUCUGAACAUGAACAAGUUUGGUUUUGCAGAUAUUGAAAUUUCAUGAUGUGUCAAAUGACAUUGGUAUGAAAAUGCUGAAGUGAAAACUUGGGAAGGAAACUUGGCAGGAUUACCAACUGCUGACGUUGCACAAAUGGAGUCAUCUGGAAUAGUCACUGUGUGAAAUAAAUUUGAAUUAUUUUACAAUUUAUCCAAUUUGCCUUUUUUUUCUGCACACUGUGGAGUUAAAUUGAUUAAAUAAAUUAUGUUUAACAGAUUUAGUUGGUAUCAAUAUUGAUACAAGUGUUCUUUGAAUCGCGCUAAUUAUAUUUACACAAAACUGGGCCACAGUGUUAUCAAUAUUCUAUCAAGGCCAGUAAACAUUUAAUGAAAAUGUCAGCAAGCUACCCUAUAUUUAUGAAAUAGAUAUUAGUUACUUGCCAUCAAUUUGAAAGUAACCCAGUGAACUAUUUGACUGGUAGUAUAAUGCAGUGACAGACAUGCAUGAAAUUUAAGACCAGGAGUAUCAGUCCCAGGGUGCCUGUUUCUAUUUGUGUUUACACCAAGGUUUCCUAGCAACAAGAAAAGUACUUUGGUCUUUUGAAUGAGAUCAGAAACCCGAGUAUUGAGUUUCUGCGCCAAAGAAAUUGUAGAUACAUUGCAGAAUUCAUGCUCUAGGUAUUUAUUCUGCAAGCACUUUUUGGCAUUGGUAACUAAAUUGCAUUUUUGGAAAGUCUAGAGUUCAUUGCAUUUUCUUAAGAAUUGAACUGUUGUAUUCUUGCAUCAAGUUUUUUAAAGAUAUUAUUCAGGGCAUGAACUAAGGAAUAGUCUCUGGUCUUCAAACCCGAAGUGAUUUUUUUAGAGAAGAAGAAUGUCACUGGACAUGGAAAAACAACACAUAAAGAAAGAAAUUGAAAAAUUGUUGAAACAUUACAUUGGCACAAGACUUCGUGAAAACAGCUUUGAUCCCAAGGGAAAAAUUGAACCAGUGGAGUCAACCUACUUCAAUGAUUUGGCACAUUAUGAUUUGGCGAUCAACGUUGCUUUGCUUUGGCUAAAUGAAGAGGAAGAUCGAGAAUUUCUUGAAAAUGAAAAAAUAGUAAUUUCACAUCGUGCUAGGUCAAAAUACCCAAAUAAAAUGGAGCGAGAAGCAAUGAUACUCUCUUCCUUUGCUGGAAUUCUAAUGAGCAGUAUCCCACUAGAAGAUAUUCUAAAGAUUUACAGAUAUAAGCCCUCAAUUACUCAGUUCUGUAAGACAGUUACGAGACAUGUUCAGUCAUCUAGCAUCUCCUUGCAUCCUUUUGCAAUGUUGACUGCUGCUUGUGCAGCAAAGCAUGCCACAAAACAGGAUAUCAAACCUAAAGUGGGAAAAACUGCAUCAAAGCAGAACUUUAAGGAUCCUUCAACAGCAUUUCAAUCAGCUGGCCAGCCUCGUGAUGAUUGCGGUGUUAUGCAGCAGAAUGCAGAAUGUACAUUCAAUUCAAAGACUUUUAAAGAAGAGUUGCAAUUUUGAUGGGAGUAGCAAUAGCUACCAGAGCCAGGGAUUCUAUGUUUUCGAUGGCUUGUUGAAGGACUCAAGUGACCAGUCUGAAGAAGAAAUGCUAGACGACAAAAAUCAGUAUCUAACUUAAGUUUGGAAGAGGUGGAUGAUCAAUUUGCUCCCAUUAAUGAAAACAGCGUCAUAUUUGACAAAGGAUUGAAACAGUCCCUGUGCUGAAGAAUUUAUCAUUGCAACUAAAAUUUGCAACACAAAUAGUUUUAAUAGAAUCCAAGCUUUUUGUCCUCUAUGUCCCAUAUGGUAUAAUACAAUGUAUUUCUAAAAUUGUUUCACUGAAAAAUUGACUGAGUUUGCAACAUCAAAUAUUGUGGAAAACUGAGCAUCAGUAAUUUCAAAUUCUAUUGUUAAUUAAAAGUAGGAAUGAUGAGAAAGUGUGAUAAUGUGAAAUAUAGAGAUAUGUAAUCGACGUGCAAAAUGGUCGUGGGGUUAUAUGAUGGAUAUGCAAGACAGAGAAAUAUAAUGGCAUUCACAAGAUGGCGAUUAUGUAAUGAGAUUUAUAAGAAGUUGUGUUGUAUGGAUAUGCAAAGUUGGGACAGUGCAAUGGGUAGUUAAUAUGUAAGAAAAACAGAAAUUGCUGAAAACGUUCAGUUGGUUUGGCAGCAUCUGUGGAGAGAAAUCAGAGUGCACAUUUUGGGUCAAGUAACCCUUCCUCAGAACUGACUGUCCUGAAAAUGUUAACAUUUUUUUCUCUCCAUAGGUGCUGCCAGACCUGCUCAGCACUUACAGCAUUUUCAGUUUGAAUUUCAGAUAUCCAGUCUCUGUAGUACUUUGCUUUCUUUUUCUUGCUUUAGUUUGGCUUCACAUUGAUCACGCUUACCUUCCAUUCGUGAUAUUUUGCGAGGGGGGCCCAGUCAGAAAGUUAUCUUUCUGAGGAACAUUUCUCAUAUGAAUGAAAAUAUCUGAAGAUCAAAAAUGAACAGGAGCUGAAGUUUGUUCAGGAUGUUAAUCAUUUUGAUGGUGUAAAUUUGUAGUCCCUAAUGGACUCAAGUGUAAGAGCAAAAUUAACUCUGAACCAAUUAAAUCUGUGUCAUUGUCCUACA